rnacentral:rRNA from 1 species
GUGUCAGCCGCCGCGGUAAUACGGAGGGUGCAAGCGUUGUUCGGAAUUACUGGGCGUAAAGCGCGUGUAGGUGGCUUAUUAUGUCAGGUGUGAAAGCCCUCGGCCUAACCGAGGAAGUGCGCCUGAAACUGAUAAGCUUGAGUACGAGAGAGGAGGACGGAAUUCCCAGUGUAGAGGUGAAAUUCGUAGAUAUUGGGAGGAACACCGGUGGCGAAAGCGGUUCUCUGGAUCGAUACUGACACUAAGACGCGAAAGCGUGGGGAGCAAACAGGAUUAGAUACCCUGGUAGUCCACGCCGUAAACGAUGGAUAUUAGUUGUUGCGAGUUUAACCCUCGCAGUGACGACGCUAACGCAUUAAAUAUCCCGCCUGGGAAGUACGGCCGCAAGGUUAAA